AGCGGCUGGCAGUGGGGUUGGAGCUCGUGCCCCAAUUUCAUUCACCUGAAGGGGUCCUUUCCUUCAGAUGAGGAAACAUCAACUGAGACUGUGUCUCAUGGUUAAGCUGUGCCCCUGCAUUGGAUACCAAAAAAGAAAUACAAGGCCUGUUGGCCUCUGUAUUUUCUGCAAGCAGGAAAAAAGACAUCGAACUUAGAAGAGCAUGCAAGCAUCAGGGAAACACAUUUGGAAGGCAUCCAUAGGCCUAAGACUUGAAGAUCUAAAAACAAAACAAGGUGUCUUAACGUGGUUCAUCAAAAAUAUGUUUCCUAUUCUCAUACUCACUGUUUUUUAUUGUUGCUAAUGAAAACUGUCUAUAAAGGAAUCUCCUCUAUUAAGUGUAUUUAUUUUUACCAAAUACACGCUAAGAAAGAGAAGAGGAAUAUAAGAAUGUAAGUAUCUAUGCCCCAUACAAAACCAGGCAACUAACCAAGCAAGAAAAACAAAAGUGAAAAAAGGCCAAACCCUAUACUCUCCAGUACUUUUGAGCUGAGUCACAUGAAUUAAAUGAUUUUGACCUACAGAAAUCCCCAAGUUCUUGAUAAGUCAUCCUUCUGGUUCACAUAAAUGAUGAGAAGUCAGUGUAAGAUCUCCAGAUCAGGACUUCAAGAAGAAGAAUGGACUGAGGGAUCUCAUCUAUCCUAUACUGGUUGUCCUGGAAAUAAUGCUAUAUCCCCCUCUUUGCUAGGAUCACUGUUUGUGUGAGUUGUUCUGGGACUAGGUAUAUUUACUUAAAGAGGGGGAAAAAAAAAAAAAAAAGCAGUAGCAGAACAGUUGCCCUGCUUCCCUUUACCCAAAUGUAGGAGAUACACUCUAUAUCUCCUUUUGAAAAGCAAUUACAUUGGGAAUUCACCAGGGUACUGAGACCUCAAUUAAUCCUCUUGUAAAGUAAAGAAGUCCUUCAUAAUGAGCAAAGAAAUUCUUUAAUGUAUAAAUUUUUAAGUCUUUUAAAAAGUAUUUUCAGGGUGCCUGGAUGUCUCAGUUGGUUGAACUGCCUUCAGCUCAGGUCAUGAUCCUGGAGUCCAGGAUGGAGUCUGCCGCAUUGGGCAACCUGCUCAGCAAGGGGUCUGCUUCUGCCUCCGACCUUCGCCCUCCCAUGCUCGUUCUCUG